AGAGUUUGAUCAUGGCUCAGAAUCAACGCUGGCGGCGUGCCUAACACAUGCAAGUCGCACGAGAAAGGGUAGCAAUACCUGAGUACAGUGGCGCACGGGUGAGUAACACGUGAAUGAUCUACCUCCGAGUGGGGAAUAACCUAGAGAAAUCUGGGCUAAUACCGCAUAACACUUACGAGUCAAAGCAGCAAUGCGCUUGGAGAGGAGUUCGCGGCCGAUUAGUUAGUUGGCGGGGUAAUGGCCCACCAAGACGAUGAUCGGUAUCCGGCCUGAGAGGGCGCACGGACACACUGGAACUGAAACACGGUCCAGACUCCUACGGGAGGCAGCAGUGGGGAAUUUUGCGCAAUGGGGGAAACCCUGACGCAGCAACGCCGCGUGGAGGAUGAAAUCCCUUGGGAUGUAAACUCCUUUCGAUCGGGACGAUUAUGACGGUACCGGAAGAAGAAGCCCCGGUUAACUUCGUGCCAGCAGCCGCGGUAAUACGAGGGGGGCAAGCGUUGUUCGGAAUUAUUGGGCGUAAAGGGCGCGUAGGCGGUUUGACAAGUCUGAUGUGAAAUCUCUGGGCUCAACCCAGAGUCUGCGUUAGAAACUGUCGGGCUUGAGUAUGGGAGAGGUGAGUGGAAUUUCCGGUGUAGCGGUGAAAUGCGUAGAUAUCGGAAGGAACACCUGUGGCGAAAGCGGCUCACUGGACCAUAACUGACGCUGAGGCGCGAAAGCUAGGGGAGCAAACAGGAUUAGAUACCCUAGUAGUCC
rnacentral:rRNA from 1 species